rnacentral:rRNA from 1 species
CAGUGGGGAAUAUUGCGCAAUGGGGGCAACCCUGACGCAGCAAUACCGCGUGAGUGAAGAAGGUUUUCGGAUCGUAAAGCUCUGUUAUUGGGGAAGAAAAAAGACGGUACCCAAGAAGAAAGUCCCGGCUAACUACGUGCCAGCAGCCGCGGUAAUACGUAGGGGACAAGCGUUGUCCGGAUUUACUGGGCGUAAAGGGCACGCAGGCGGUUUUUUAAGUCAGAUGUGAAAGGUACCGGCUCAACCGGUGACAUGCAUUUGAAACUGAAAGACUUGAGUAUUGGAGAGGCAAGUGGAAUUCCUAGUGUAGCGGUGAAAUGCGUAGAUAUUAGGAGGAACACCGGUGGCGAAGGCGGCUUGCUGGACAAAUACUGACGCUGAGGUGCGAAAGCGUGGGGAGCAAACAGGAUU